ACGCGGAGGAGAAGGAAAGUCGCUCAAGCAGUGGACAGAACGGAGAAAGCGACUUCGGGUCUGCUGGAGUUUGCUGGAGGUGCGCUCCAGACUCUGUUUGCCUGUGUAUCACCAACAGAGGCUGCAGAACAGCAAAGAUUGCUGUCUGUACCUUCCUCUGGAAGCUUCAUCCCAGAGGGGCACCUGCGAGACGCCAGCCGGAGCUCUCCUCUAUGAGUUCAGCCUGAGAAAGCUCCUGAGCAUGUGCAAAAAAGAAAAGAAAAGAAGAAAAGAAAAGUAAAGAAAAGAAAAAAGGAAAAAAGGCAAGCUCCUGAGUGGGUCUCUCAGGGAGCCACCGGACAGUGAAUGAAGGAGGGAAGAAAGGAGAGGCAGAGAGAAUAUGGAUUUCCUCAUGGUUGUGAUUCCUCUUCACUCUUUUGAAUUUGGAAGGACGGCAUACACAUCUGAAAAACACCACUACUUCCUUCAUUGGACUGCAAGGUAUUUCUGUUUGGAAAAGUAAUGGAGUCCAGUCAACUUCAUUGAUCUCCAAGGACUGUCAAAAUUAUAAAACUUGCUGUGGAGCUCUGACAUGCCAGAAGCCGCUAGAAAAAGAAGUUUGACAUUCAGAAACUUAUCAAGAGGUUCUACUCUUUGGAUAGAGACCAAAAUAAUACUUUGAAAAAGCCUGACAGGUUUCUUCGGAAAAGUGGCCAUCCAUGGAAUGAAUGAAAUGUUCUCUUUCUAUUCCAGGGAUUGCAGUGGCAAAGCUAGGCUAGGUCUUGGAGGCUGGUGUAAGGCGAUGCGGGUGAAGGCAGGAGGCUGAUGGAAAGACUGGGGGGAAGAAAAGCCGAAAUGGAUUCACGGUGCCUUGGAUGAAGGACGAGAGGGGAACUGCAAGCUCCUUCAACUGGUUCUGUCCGGUGAGAAGUGAUCAAGCUUGGGCUGACAAGAGGCUCAGGGAGCCCUCACGUUCUUUCGCUUUUUUACCUGCCAAUCAAACUGCUACAAGACAACACCCUGAUCUGGCAUGGACAU
rnacentral:sRNA from 1 species